UACGGAGGGUGCAAGCGUUAUCCGGAUUCACUGGGCUUAAAGGGUGCGUAGGCGGCUUGAUAAGUCAGUGGUGAAAGCCCCGAGCUCAACUUGGGAAUUGCCAUUGAUACUGUUGUUCUUGAGUUCGGUUGAGGUAGGCGGAAUGUUGCAUGUAGCGGUGAAAUGCUUAGAUAUGCAACAGAACACCGAUUGCGAAGGCAGCUUACCAAGCCGACACUGACGCUGAUGCACGAAAGCGUGGGGAUCAAACAGG
rnacentral:rRNA from 1 species